GUAGGGAAUAUUGGGCAAUGGAUGCAAGUCUGACCCAGCCAUCCCGCGUGCCGGAAGAAGGCCCUCAGGGUUGUAAACGGCUUUUGACGGUGAAGAAUCGACAGGAUGCGUCCUGUUUUGACGGUAGCCGUUGAAUAAGCACCGGCUAACUCCGUGCCAGCAGCCGCGGUAAUACGGUGGGUGCGAGCGUUGUCCGGAUUUAUUGGGUUUAAAGGGUGCGUAGGCUGGAAGGUCAGUCAGCGGUGAAAAGCUGUCGCUUAACGAUAGUCUUGCCGCAGAUACUUCCUUUCUUGGAUGAGGAGGAGGCCACUGGAACGGAUGGUGUAGCGGUGAAAUGCAUAGAUAUCAUCCAGAACACCGAUUGCGAAGGCAGGUGGCUGUACCUUAAUCGACGCUGAUGCACGAAAGCAUGGGGAGCAAACAGGAUUAGAAACCCCAGUAGUCC
rnacentral:rRNA from 1 species